AUGGACCUCCGCGCCGUCUGCGGCAGCUGGCGCUCCGCCACCGACGACCCCAAUGACAGCCCGGACGACCCUCGCUUCCGGCCCCGGCAGUGGGUCGUGCUCGACGACGACGUCUUCCGGAGAGAGGACACGCGCCUCCUGGUGAACACCCACACCGGCCGCUUCCUCCGCAAGGAGCUCCCUCUGCUCGCCGGCCACCGCUACGUCGCCACCACUGCCGGUGGAUUCUUCGUGCUGGCGGACUACGAUGACUAUUACGCCGCUCGCGUCCUCAACCCUUUCACAGGCCACAUGAUCCAUUUCAGGGCAACCGUGCCCUCCGACAUGGUGGAUGCUGCUGCUGUCAUCGGGUCGCCCCCCACCAUCAUCUUGCUCUGCGGCUCGGAUCGUAAGUGGUACAUGGCUAGCCCCGACAGUAGAAGUUUUGCUGUGUACCAAGAGGAGGACGCCUAG
rnacentral:rRNA from 1 species